rnacentral:misc_RNA from 1 species
UCCGAUUUGUCACCGGCAGUCGUUCUAGAGUGCCCAACUGAAUGCUGGCAACUAGACCUAAGGGUUGCGCUCGUUACGGGACUUAACCCAACAUCUCACGACACGAGCUGACGACAACCAUGCACCACCUGUCACCACUGUCCCCGAAGGGAAAGUUAUGUCUCCAUAACGGGCAGUGGGAUGUCAAGACCUGGUAAGGUUCUUCGCGUUGCUUCGAAUUAAACCACAUGCUCCACCGCUUGUGCGGGUCCCCGUCAAUUCUUUUGAGUUUCAGCCUUGCGGCCGUACUCCCCAGGCGGAGUGCUUAAUGCGUUAACUGCAGCACUAAGGGGCGGAAACCCCCUAACACCUAGCACUCAUCGUUUACGGCGUGGACUAC